rnacentral:rRNA from 1 species
AGCGAACGCUGGCGGCAGGCUUAACACAUGCAAGUCGAACGGAUCCUUCGGGAUCAGUGGCAGACGGGUGAGUAACACGUGGGAACGUGCCUUUUGGUUCGGAACAACUCAGGGAAACUUGAGCUAAUACCGGAUGUGCCCUUCGGGGAAGGAUUAUCGCCAUUAGAGCGGCCCGCGUCUGAUUAGCUAGUUGGUGAGGUAAAGGCUCACCAAGGCUUCAAUCAGUAGCUGGCUGAGAGGAUGAUCAGCCACACUGGGACUGAGACACGGCCCAGACUCCUACGGGAGGCAGCAGUGGGGAAUCUUGCGCAAUGGGCGAAAGCCUGACGCAGCCAUGCCGCGUGAAUGAUGGAGGUCUUAGGA